GACAGAGGAGCCAAGCGUUGUCCGGACUGACUGGGCGUAAAGCGCACGCAGGCGGCGCUGCGCGUGGGGUGUGAAAGCUCUUGGCUUAACUGAGAGAGGCCAUCCCAUACGGCAGUGCUCGAGCGGUGCAGAGGUCCGCGGAAUUGCCGGUGUAGUGGUGAAAUGCAUAGAUAUGUCACAGAACACCAAUUGCGAAGGCAGCUUACUAUGGUUUAAUUGACGCUGAGGCACGAAAGCGUGGGGAUCAAACAGG
rnacentral:rRNA from 1 species